GGAAACAUUGCCAUCACUACCAAAUUAUCAUGCAGCCACUGGUUAUCGCCACCACACUAGCCAUCCUAUUGACCGGAUGCUUGGAAGUUAACAGUCAAGCAGGCCAAUGGGGAUGUGUCUGGGUUGGUAGUACGCCAAUCUGCGAAGCGAACAAAAACACUUGCAGAGAAAUGAACAUGGAUCUAGUUAAGGUAUCGAACAUGGCACGAGAUGGUACGAAAUGUUGGCAAGGAAUCCGAGUGUUUUGUUGCCCACCCCUGGGCGACUUCAGACGGAAGAGGAACUCAUUUUAUAAAUAGGCAAACCACCACAUUGAUCUAGAGGAGAGUAUGAUAAGAUCGGAAUUUUCUUUUGACCGAAUUCUUCAUCAAGUCCAUGGCUGUCCUAACACGAUCACGCAGUACCUGAGAUCUGACAUUCAGACGAGUUGUAUUCAUAUUAGCAAGAAAAAAACCCUUUAUUCUUGACACGUAUCGAAUUAAUUGCAUUAUCUUCACUGGGAGAACUAUUAUAUCAGUUGACUCGUUUUCUAGUACCUGCGCGACUUGUAACAAUGAUCGCCUUAUCCUGGCAACGCGGAGUGAUAUUAUAGAUUUGUGAGUGAGAGACGGAUGACGUCCUCUUGUUUUGUUUCGUCUUGACUCGAGGUAUUUCGAAUGUAAAUCCUGACAUGCGAUAAAUUUUGCGCUGAGGUCGCAGCCAUUGAUGGAGCACCAGAAUUAUGCAGUCAUUGCGUCGAACAAUGAGUUUCUUACAGGGAAACGAAAGACAUUUGUAAUGGUGCAGGGUUGGCCUACAUAUUGCCGUAAAACGUAAGAUUUAAAACAUAUUUUUCCCAAACUUUGUAUGUCUAAGAGGUAUCCCAAUUUUAGUUGAAUGAUGUUGUUAUUUUUUUAAAUGCCUUCUGUAUUUGUUUUUACUGCAUUUGGAGGUUAGAAAACGUGUUAGCUUUUAACACUCAUGUUGACAUAUUCUUACGUGUACUUCGAUGUACAUGUAACAGCAUGUCAGCGUUGUUACAAGCCAAUAUGUUUUCUAACAAAUGCAACCUGUAUGAUGGCGUUAUAUAUAUGCGAUACAUAAAGGCAUCAAAAUAAAAUAUCGUAAGAAAGAA